CAGUCGCCGCGGUAAUACGAAGGGGGCUAGCGUUGCUCGGAAUGACUGGGCGUAAAGGGCGCGUAGGCGGUUCGUACAGUCGGAUGUGAAAUUCCUGGGCUUAACCUGGGGGCUGCAUUCGAUACGUGCGGGCUUGAGUGUGGAAGAGGGUCGUGGAAUUCCCAGUGUAGAGGUGAAAUUCGUAGAUAUUGGGAAGAACACCGGUGGCGAAGGCGGCGACCUGGUCCUUGACUGACGCUGAGGCGCGAAAGCGCGGGGAGCGAACAGGAUUAGAUACCCCCGUAGUCCCUGUCUCUUAUAC
rnacentral:rRNA from 1 species